UCCCUGGUGGCUCAGAUGGUAAAGAAUCUGCCUGCAAUGCAGAAGACCCAGGUUCAACCCCUGGGUCGGGAA
rfam:TPA: Bos taurus chromosome 8, whole genome shotgun sequence.